UGCAGAUGGCAGGAUUUCCCAAAGGUUUCUGGCUGAAACAUAUUCCGUGGUGUAUCUGUACAGCAGUUUCCUCAUCCCUGCAGCUGUGUUUGAACAGGAAAGAAAAAAGAAGAAAACAAACCUCCAUACGAGAAUGGGUCUAAAGGAACUUCCCAAACCUCCAUGAUUUUGCAGGAAACAAGAUAAAGGUUAUCACAACCAGCCCAGCUCCAGAAGUGAAAGAGCUGGCUGCAGCUGGGCAUGAGGCCAAAUGAAAAUGCUUUCACUCCCCUCAAGGGCUGCAGAGGGGGCCCUUGCAAAGGGAGGGUCACCGAGCUGCAAUUUCUUCUGCCUCCAAUCCAGAAAGAGCCUGAAGGAUUGCUCAAGGUGUCCUGGGAAAGAUUUUGAUUUCAAAGAGACAAUCUCCCCCAGG
rnacentral:lncRNA from 1 species